rnacentral:siRNA from 1 species
CGAGAAGUCCUCGUGUUGCAUCCC